rnacentral:tRNA from 1 species
GAGGGUGUAGCUCAGUGGUGGAGCGCGUGCUUAGCGCGCACGAGGUCCUGGGUACGGUCUCCAGUCCCUCCA